rnacentral:rRNA from 1 species
UCCUACGGGACGCAGCAGUAGGGAAUUUUCGUCAAUGGGCGCAAGCCUGAACGAGCGAUGCCGCGUGAGUGACGCCGGCCUUCGGGUCGUCCCGCUCUGUUGCGGGGGCCCCACGGCAGCAUCAGGAAAUGGGUGCUGACUGAUGGUGCCCCGCCAGAAAGUCACGGCUAACUACGUGCCAGCAGCCGCGGUAAUACGUAGGUGGCGAGCGUGAUCCGGAAUGAUUGGGCGUAAAGGCUGCGCAGGCGGUACUGCAAGUCUGGAAUGAAACGCAU